rnacentral:rRNA from 1 species
GUUUGAGGGGUCCAUCCCGGAUUACCAAUCUCAGAUAAACUCCGAAUGCCAAUGAAUUAUGGUCGGCAGUCAGACUGCGAGUGCUAAGAUCCGUAGUCGAAAGGGAAACAGCCCAGACCACCAGCUAAGGUCCCAAAAUAUAUGUUAAGUGGAAAAGGAUGUGGCGUUGCCCAGACAACUAGGAUGUUGGCUUAGAAGCAGCCAUCAUUUAAAGAGUGCGUAAUAG